UAGAGAGAGAGAACAGAGAUGGUCAGAGGGACGGGGAGACGGAGGUAGAGAGAGAGAACAGAGAUGGUCAGACGGAGGUAGAGAGAGAGAACAGAGAUUGUCAGAGGGACGGGGAGAUGGAGGUAGAGAGAGAGAACAGAGAUGGUCAGAGGGACGGGGAGAUGGAGGUGGAGAGAGAGAACAGAGAUGGUCAGAGGGACAGGGAGACGGAGGUAGAGAGAGAGAACAGAGAUGGUCAGAGGGACGGGGAGAUGGAGGUGGAGAGAGAGAACAGAGAUGGUCAGACGGAGGUAGAGAGAGAACAGAGAUGAUCAGACGGAGGUAGAGAGAGAGAGAACAGAGAUGGUCAGAG